rnacentral:rRNA from 1 species
UACGUAGGGGGCAAGCGUUAUCCGGAUUUACUGGGUGUAAAGGGAGCGUAGGCGGUAAUGCAAGUCAGAAGUGAAAGCCCGGGGCUCGACUCCUGGGCUGCUUUUGAAACUGUGUUGCUAGAUUGCAGGAGAGGUAAGUGGAAUUCCUAGUGUAGCGGUGAAAUGCGUAGAUAUUAGGAGGAACACCAGUGGCGAAGGCGGCUUACUGGACUGUAAAUGACGCUGAGGCUCGAAAGCGUGGGGAGCAAACAGG